rnacentral:rRNA from 1 species
UACGUAGGGUGCAAGCGUUGUCCGGAAUUAUUGGGCGUAAAGCGCACGCAGGUGGCUGAGUCAGUCGAUUGUGAAAGCCCUGGGCUUAACCUGGGAAUUGCAGUCGAUACUACUCAGCUAGAGUAUGGGAGAGGGCAGUGGAAUUCCCGGUGUAGCGGUGAAAUGCGUAGAUAUCAGGUGGAACACCAGUGGCGAAGGCGGCUUUCUGGACGAUUACUGACGCUGAGACGCGAAAGCGUGGGGAGCAAACAGG